rnacentral:rRNA from 1 species
CCCUUAGAUGUUCUGGGCGGCCCGCGCACUACAAUGGCGCUUUCAGCGAGUUCCUAUGUUGAAUUUUCCUGGGUAUUCUUGGAAGCGGCGUCUUGACUUGGGAUAGAUCCUUGUAAUUGUUGGUUUUGAACGAGGAAUUCCUUGUAAUCGCGGUUGAUCAGCUCGCGUUGAAUACGUCCCUGCCCUUUGUACACACCGCCUGUCGCUCCUACCGAUGAAUCGUCCGGUGAAGUUCACAGAGUGGCGGUUCGUGGAGUUGCUCGCGAAGUGAAAUGGACCUCACGAUUUAGAGGAAGGAGAAGUCGUAACA